rnacentral:rRNA from 1 species
GACGAACGCUGGCGGCGUGCUUAACACAUGCAAGUCGAACGGUGAAGCGAGUGCUUGCACUCGUGGAUCAGUGGCGAACGGGUGAGUAACACGUGAGUAACCUGCCCCUCACUCUGGGAUAAGCACUGGAAACGGUGUCUAAUACUGGAUACGACCAACCCUUGCAUGGGGUGUUGGUGGAAAGAUUUAUCGGUGAUGGAUGGACUCGCGGCCUAUCAGCUUGUUGGCGGGGUAAUGGCCCACCAAGGCGACGACGGGUAGCCGGCCUGGGAGGGUGACCGGCCACAAUGGGACUGAGACACGGCCCAGACUCCUACGGGAGGCAGCAGUGGGGAAUAUUGCACAAUGGGCGAAAGCCUGAUGCAGCGACGCCGCGUGAGGGAUGACGGCCUUCGGGUUGUAAACCUCUUUCAGCAGGGAAGAAGCGAAAGUGACGGUACCUGCAGAAGAAGCACCGGCUAACUACGUG